rnacentral:rRNA from 1 species
GUACAGCAGUCGCGAAACCUUCGCAAUGCGGGAAACCGCGACGAGGGACUCCCAGUGCCUACGCUCAGCGUAGGCUGUUCCCGAGCCUAGAAAGCUCGGGGAGUAAGGGCUGGGUAAGACGGGUGCCAGCCGCCGCGGUAAUACCCGCAGCCCGAGUGGUGGCCACUAUUAUUGGGCCUAAAGCGUCCGUAGCCGGCCCGGGUAAAUGCCUGGGGUAAAUCGUGAGGCCUAACCUCACGAAUUCCGGGUAGACUGCCGGGCUAGGGGA